UUCCAGGACGAGAAAUAUGAGUUUGUUUGUAAAAGGAAGAGAAAGAGCCAAGAGUGAAGGGAAGUAGAAGAAAUGGAUCGAGUGACAGCAAGAGAAGCAUGCAUUCCUUUCUGGAGCAGUACGGUUACCAGAAUCAGCGUCUUCCUUCAGCAUAAGACAAGGUCACUGGCAUGUAUCACGUUGUUAAACACUUGAGGAUUGGUGCCCGUGGUCCCAAGGGUUCCCUGAGAGCCUUCGAAACACUCUACAUGGAUGGAGGGAUCAGAGCUCAAGCCCUGGCUGGAGGCUGAUGGACUCUCCCUCUGUGUUGUCAAGUGGCAGGGCUGCAGCUGACAAAGGCGACCACCAUUCUGUUUCUCUGCUGCGUCAGAUUCAAAACUGAUGAACCCAGAAUGGGGCUCAUCAAUUUCAAAAGAAAAGGUUCUCUGCUUUCUUUGUUGGUCUCGGAAGAUAAAUAUUUCUCGUGGCACCUCUGACAUGGCUAUGCGUCUGUGUAGGUCAGCAGUAAAUAGAUGGGGUUGAUGGAUGGAAAUGGCAAACCGAAAGGACAGACUCACUCAAAGCCCACUGUGGAGGGCCCAUGAAUCUCUCCAUCGUAUUUGGUUAAUGGUCAAUCUGACACUUUUCCCACCCAAACAUAUAUCUAGAACAACUAAUAUCGAUUCUCUUCUAGGGACGUAUCAGGCAAGGAUGGCUGCAUUUGAUUUGAAAGGGGCAAGGAAGAAGCUCAGUGUAAACAGAGUGACAUUGUGUGACUCUUAGGUGAGGCUAGUAGGACAACUGCUUGUGACCAGGAGAGCUCAUGUCUGAGUGGCGGGAAGCGAAUGUGCGUGGUCCUCUUACGUUCUGUUGUCAUUUUUU